GGGGAAUAUUGCACAAUGGGCGCAAGCCUGAUGCAGCGACGCCGCGUGGGGGAUGACGGCCUUCGGGUUGUAAACUCCUUUCGCCAGGGACGAAGCGUUUUGUGACGAUACCUGGAGAAAAAGCACCGGCUAACUACGUGCCAGCAGCCGCGGUAAUACGUAGGGUGCAAGCGUUGUCCGGAAUUACUGGGCGUAAAGAGCUCGUAGGUGGUUUGUCACGUCGUCUGUGAAAUUCCACAGCUUAACUGUGGGCGUGCAGGCGAUACGGGCUGACUUGAGUACUGUAGGGGUAACUGGAAUUCCUGGUGUAGCGGUGAAAUGCGCAGAUAUCAGGAGGAACACCGAUGGCGAAGGCAGGUUACUGGGCAGUUACUGACGCUGAGGAGCGAAAGCAUGGGUAGCAAACAGGAUUAGAUACCCUGGUAGUCCAUGCCGUAAACGGUGGGCGCUAGGUGUAGGGGCCUUUUGGGGUUUCUGUGCCGUAGCUAACGCAUUAAGCGCCCCGCCUGGGGAGUACGGCCGCAAGGCUA
rnacentral:rRNA from 1 species